AGUUAAAAAGCUUAUUAAGCAUAUGUUUUGAAAGCAUAAGUAAGAAGUUAAAUACUUCUAUUAACUU
rnacentral:tRNA from 1 species